UACAGAGGGGGCAAGCGUUGUUCGGAAUUACUGGGCGUAAAGGGCGCGUAGGCGGCCUUCUAAGUCGAACGUGAAAUCCCCGGGCUCAACCCGGGAACUGCGUCCGAGACUGGAAGGCUUGAAUCCGGGAGAGGGAUGUGGAAUUCCAGGUGUAGCGGUGAAAUGCGUAGAUAUCGUUUGGAACGCCAAUGGUGAAAACAGGCAACUGGGGACAUGCUGACGCUGAGACACGAAAGCCAGGGGAGCGAACGGG
rnacentral:rRNA from 1 species